GAUGAACGCUGGCGGCGUGCAUAACACAUUCAAGUCGAACGGUGAUUGCCUUCGGGCAUGAUCAGUGGCGGACGGGUGAGUAACGCGUGAGCAACCUGCCCUUGUGUGGGGGAUACCGUCUGGAAACGGACGUUAAUACCGCAUAACAUAAGAGGACCGCAUGAUCCUCUUAUCAAAGAUUUAUUGCGCAAGGAUGGGCUCGCGUUGGAUUAGAUAGUUGGUGGGGUAACGGCCCACCAAGUCUGCGAUCCAUAGCCGAACUGAGAGGUUGAACGGCCACAUUGGAACUGAGAUACGGUCCAG
rnacentral:rRNA from 1 species